rnacentral:rRNA from 1 species
AUAACAAUCGAAACCGCAUGGUUUUGAUUUGAAAGGCGCUUUCGGGUGUCGCUGAUGGAUGGACCCGCGGUGCAUUAGCUAGUUGGUGAGGUAACGGCUCACCAAGGCGACGAUGCAUAGCCGACCUGAGAGGGUGAUCGGCCACAUUGGGACUGAGACACGGCCCAAACUCCUACGGGAGGCAGCAGUAGGGAAUCUUCGGCAAUGGACGAAAGUCUGACCGAGCAACGCCGCGUGAGUGAAGAAGGUUUUCGGAUCGUAAAACUCUGUUGUUAGAGAAGAACAAGGAUGAGAGUAACUGUUCAUCCCUUGACGGUAUCUAACCAGAAAGCCACGGCUAACUACGUGCCAGCAGCCGCGGUAAUACGUAGGUGGCAAGCGUUGUCCGGAUUUAUUGGGCGUAAAGCGAGCGCAGGCGGUUUCUUAAGUCUGAUGUGAAAGCCCCCGGCUCAACCGGGGAGGGUCAUUGGAAACUGGGAGACUUGAGUGCAGAAGAGGAGAGUGGAAUUCCAUGUGUAGCGGUGAAAUGCGUAGAUAUAUGGAGGAACACCAGUGGCGAAGGCGGCUCUCUGGUCUGUAACUGACGCUGAGGCUCGAAAGCGUGGGGAGCAAACAGGAUUAGAUACCCUGGUAGUCCACGCCGUAAACGAUGACUGCUAGUG